UACGGAGGAUCCAAGCGUUAUCCGGAUUUAUUGGGUUUAAAGGGUGCGUAGGCGGCCUGUUAAGUCAGGGGUGAAAGACGGUAGCUCAACUAUCGCAGUGCCCUUGAUACUGAUGGGCUUGAAUGGACUAGAGGUAGGCGGAAUGAGACAAGUAGCGGUGAAAUGCAUAGAUAUGUCUCAGAACACCGAUUGCGAAGGCAGCUUACUAUGGUCUUAUUGACGCUGAGGCACGAAAGUGUGGGGAUCAAACAGG
rnacentral:rRNA from 1 species